GGAAAGCACAACUGAUAGGUCACAUUGUAUGCAGUAAAACCGGCAAAGGAAUCAAUCCUUCACGCCCAUGGCAAAUCGAACUCGAGACUUGCAUUCUGAUGAACUGUAGGAGCUGCAUGUGACGCACUGUGGUCGAAGCAUUUAUUGGUAGUACCUGCAGAGCAAAGCUCAGUUCGGCUCAUGGAUGCUAUUAGCACCGAGAAUCCGGCGUCACUUUGACCAAAGUCAAGCUUCCAACGCUUACUUUCCAAAAGAUAAGAGAACAGGUUCAAGAAGUGCAGCAGGUGGCAUGAAUUCAAGGCACACAGGGACAUGAAAGUUAGGAAAAGCAGAGACCAUGGCACUGUAAGGUGAUGUAAAGAAGGUUGCGGAGGAGAGGAGAGGAGAGGAGAGGGACGGCCAGAGAAUGAGUGCCACGCACGGAUUGUUAGGGAUAAAGCCACGAGGUUUCAGGUGGCCGACUUCCUUGGCCGCUGCUACUGGUGCGGGAAGAGGUUGCACGGGGAAGACAUCUGCAUGUACAGAGGGGAGACGGCAUUUUGCAGCGCGGAGAGCCGGCACCGGCUGAUCGUCAGCGACGAGUACCGGGUGAUAUCGAGCUUUCCAUGCUCCGGCGGAGGAGCAACCCGAGGUUUCUAGGCAUGAUGAUAGUAGGUAGUAUCAGAGCACUGUAAUCUACAGCUGUUUGAGUUCAGGAAAGAUUUUCCUGUUGACUCAAGAAAGCCAUCAGUUUUGCAUCAUGAAGAACCAAAAGAUGCACUGAGGUCUUCACAUGUUCUUCAUGAUGAUUAGUAAGAAAAAGAUUGGCCAAAACAUAGAGGGGAUUUAGUCAACCAAAUCAGAAAAAGACUAGAAAAGAAAAGAAGAUCAAUUGUGAGAAGGUCUUCCCAAAUCUUUUAAAGUUCAUCAUUUUGUUUUGUUUAGCUAACGUUUUGCACAAGAACUCAAGAAAAAGUUCAUUACCUUUGUACUCCUUUUCUAUCUCUUCUUCCCUUAGUUUCUGCCAAAUGCUUGGCAUAUGAUGCUUCAAAUGUUUCACCCUCUACUCUUCUAAUGUUUUCCCUCCCUCUAUGACCCCCUCAGCCAUUCAUAUAGUGGAAGAGAAGGUGAACAAGGGGAGGGAACAAUGAAGUUUGGUAAGAGGGUAAAGAGGCAGAUACAUGAACUAAAAUAGCUUGUCAGGCUGAUCUCUGCAACUCAAUUAGCUUCGAGAUCUGAGGUAGAGUUCAUUUAUAAGUACAAUUUACCAGGUUUUUACCAACAAUUCUUUUCAAGAAAUAUGAAAUUGAGAACAGAUUGUUCAUUACAGAUCUAGCAAAGAUCUUGAAAAGCACAACAAGCCAAUGAUCGAAAAGUUUAGCAUAUGUCGAAACCAAUUGUAGGAUAAAAAUUGCUAAAAUCAGAUGGCAUUAGCUAGUAAUAGUUCCAAAUCUAAGCAGUUAAUGCAUCGAAAGAAUGCAUGCCGAUUUUGUUUUUGAACUACUACCCGAGCGAUCUGGUUCGACUUAUAGAAAUAGUCUUGUAAUCUGCAGCAGUGAUAUUAUACAUUUUGACCCUCCUUAAACACCAUUUUGAUAUUAUAUAUUUUCAGUGCUGAAGUGCAUCAUCAAGGUUGUGAUAUUCUAGGAUCUUUGAAAGAAAUUGAAUCUGGAAUCCCAUUCUUUCAAGGAUUUCAAGAGCUCAACAGAAGAGUAUGAAAUGCACCAACAAAUGUUUUUGCAGAAAAAUAAACAGAGCUUGAAAAAGCACUAGAAAAUAUACAUUUCAAGCUCACCAUUUCAGACCUUCCUUGCCGACAAGGAAGAAAAGCGGAUAAAAUGUGUCAUUUGUGAUUUUUAU